ACUCCUACGGGAGGCAGCAGUGGGGAAUAUUGCACAAUGGGCGCAAGCCUGAUGCAGCCAUGCCGCGUGUGUGAAGAAGGCCUUCGGGUUGUAAAGCACUUUCAGUCGUGAGGAAGGUAGUGUAGUUAAUAGCUGCAGUAUUUGACGUUAGCGACAGAAGAAGCACCGGCUAACUCCGUGCCAGCAGCCGCGGUAAUACGGAGGGUGCGAGCGUUAAUCGGAAUUACUGGGCGUAAAGCGCAUGCAGGUGGUUUGUUAAGUCAGAUGUGAAAGCCCGGGGCUCAACCUCGGAAUAGCAUUUGAAACUGGCAGACUAGAGUACUGUAGAGGGGGUUAGAAUUUCAGGUGUAGCGGUGAAAUGCGUAGAGAUCUGAAGGAAUACCGGUGGCGAAGGCGGCCCCUGGACAGAUACUGACACUCAGAUGCGAAAGCGUGGGAGCAAACAGGAUUAGAUACCCCGU
rnacentral:rRNA from 1 species